rnacentral:rRNA from 1 species
UAAAGGCCUACCAAGGCUACGACGGGUCGCUGGUCUGAGAGGACGACCAGCCACACUGGCACUGAGAUACGGGCCAGACUCCUACGGGAGGCAGCAGUGAGGAAUAUUGCGCAAUGGGGGAAACCCUGACGCAGCAACGCCGCGUGUGGGAAGAAGGCCUUCGGGUCGUAAACCACUUUUGCACGGGACGAAAAAAGGGAUAUCGAACAAAUAUCCCCGAUGACGGUACCGUGAGAAUAAGCCACGGCUAACUCUGUGCCAGCAGCCGCGGUAAGACAGAGGUGGCAAGCGUUGUUCGGAAUUACUGGGCGUAAAGAGUCUGUAGGUGGUUUGUCAAGUCUUUGGUGAAAGGCCGUAGCUUAACUAUGGGAAUGCCAAAGAGACUGGCAGGCUGGAGGCUGGGAGAGGGAAGCGGAAUUUCUGGUGUAGCGGUGAAAUGCGUAGAUAUCAGAAGGAAGGCCGGUGGCGAAGGCGGCUUCCUGGAACAGUCCUGACACUGAGAGACGAAAGCGUGGGGAGCAAACAGGAUUAGAUACCCUGGUA